rnacentral:rRNA from 1 species
GUAGGUGGCAAGCGUUGUCCGGAAUUAUUGGGCGUAAAGCGCGCGCAGGCGGUUCUUUAAGUCUGAUGUGAAAGCCCACGGCUCAACCGUGGAGGGUCAUUGGAAACUGGAGAACUUGAGUACAGAAGAGGAAAGCGGAAUUCCACGUGUAGCGGUGAAAUGCGUAGAGAUGUGGAGGAACACCAGUGGCGAAGGCGGCUUUCUGGUCUGUAACUGACGCUGAGGCGCGAAAGCGUGGGGAGCAAACAGGGAUUAGAUACCCUGGUAGUCCACGCCGUAAACGAUGAGUGCUAAGUGUUAGGGGGGUUUCCGCCCCCUUAGUGCUGCAGCUAACGCAUUAAGCACUCCGCCUGGGGAGUACGGCCGCGAGGCUG